CUGGCCCAAGUGACAACCCUAGAGUCACCCUAGAGAAGAGUGAAAAUAUUAGGAAGAGGCAAACUGCAAGUACAUAAAAGGGCUUCUCUGAUGCCACCAGCCAGUGCAAGUAUUUAUCUCGAUGUUUCAUCAAGCAUGGAUUGAAUCACUAUAACUAUAGUCAGAAGUCUAACUGGAAAAAUAUUAAUUCACAUAUUUAUUAAACCAAUGUUAGUUAAGUGUCCUUGAAUAACGGCAUGGAACAGGUAUGUGCUAUAUAAAUAGUUUCUAAGAAU
rnacentral:lncRNA from 1 species